ACRGGGUAAUGCCUUAGUAGCGGCGAGUGAAGCGGCAAAAGCUCAAAUUUGAAAUCUGGCUCUUUCAGAGUCCGAGUUGUAAUUUGAAGAAGGUAUCUUUGGGCCUGGCUCUUGUCUAUGUUUCUUGGAACAGAACGUCACAGAGGGUGAGAAUCCCGUGCGAUGAGAUGAUCCAGGUCUAUGUAAAGUUCCUUCGAAGAGUCGAGUUGUUUGGGAAUGCAGCUCUAAGUGGGUGGUAAAUUCCAUCUAAAGCUAAAUAUUGGCGAGAGACCGAUAGCGAACAAGUACAGUGAUGGAAAGAUGAAAAGAACUUUGAAAAGAGAGUGAAAAAGUACGUGAAAUUGUUGAAAGGGAAGGGCUUGAGAUCAGACUUGGUAUUUUGUAUGUUACUUCUUCGGGGGUGGCCUCUACAGUUUACCGGGCCAGCAUCAGUUUGGGCGGUAGGAGAAUCGCUUGGGAACGUGGCACGACCUCGGUUGUGUGUUAUAGCCCUUGUGGAUACUGCCAGCCUAGACUGAGGACUGCGAUUUAUAUCUAGGAUGUUGGCAUAAUGAUCUUAAGUCGCCCGUCUUGAACACGGGAACACAA
rnacentral:rRNA from 1 species